rnacentral:rRNA from 1 species
UACGUAGGGCGCAAGCGUUGUCCGGAAUUAUUGGGCGUAAAGAGCUCGUGGGCGGCUUGUCACGUCGAUUGUGAAAGCCCGAGGCUUAACCUCGGGUCUGCAGUCGAUACGGGCUAGCUAGAGUGUGGUAGGGGAGAUCGGAAUUCCUGGUGUAGCGGUGAAAUGCGCAGAUAUCAGGAGGAACACCGGUGGCGAAGGCGGUUCUCUGGGCCUGACCUGACGCUGAGGAGCGAAAGCGUGGGGAGCGAACAGG